CUGUAGCUUACUGUCAUCUUACCUUAUUUAUUUAUGUUUUGUGAGUGCUGCACUGAAUUCCACUUAAAUGUAACUGUAGUGAAAUGGUGGUGGUGAAUCUCCAAUUUACAGAGGCUCUUACAGCUUUCUCAACUGCUGUCUCAUUAAAACCGCACUCCCUCUCCACCCCAGUGUUACAGUGUGAGGCUUGUGGGGCUUGACCUUGAAGUUGCUCAAAGCUGAGAAGUCAGCAGAAGCCUAUGGCUAUUUUGGUAUUCAGGGACUGGAGACAACAGGCUCUGGCUAAGAGGUUUUGACCCGGUCUGUGAGGUGCAUGGAUGUGUUCCAAUUACCUGGCUUAUUCAGACCAGAAUUGAUUGGUAAUGGGAUCCUGGACGGCGGCAAUUGUGACUUUGGAUCCAAGGGUACUGCAGGUUCCCACUGGCCACCGAGCCUAUCGGUUUCUCUUGGUGACCGUAUCGUAUUUCUUCCUAAAACUGGAGAAUUUGUCCUUGUCUUCACCUCUGCAGGAACCUUCCUAGUCGCCUCUGUUUAACCACAGUGACCAUGGCGAGGUCAGUGGCUUCCUGCGUUGGUGCUGUGACAGCAUCAAGAUGAGCACUUGUGCCAUCUCGAGGGAUGGGGUUUUGUUUUGGUCCAUUGACAUCUGACAUCAGCGUUUGAACUGUGGGAUAGGAUAUGUAUCUUCAGAUUGAAGAAUAGAAUUGCAUCUCUCUGUCCUCUGCUUGUCCUCUGUCAGGUUUUUCUCUGUCCAUCUGUCUCUCUGUCACAGUGCCCCCCAUGGGCUCCCUCAUGAGCUUUUCUCUAUUUUCCUCUUUUUUUUCCUGAUUUUGGAGUCCCCAGUGUCCUCUUCUAGCAAGCUCAGGAGGCGAGGUACCAUAGCGGAUCGGACCAGCCACUCUGCAGUGUGGCAGGCUCUCAGAGCUUGACUCUGCCAUCCCAGAGUAGGUCUCCUGACCAGACUGCUCCUGAGGGAAAGCUUUUUAAACAAUGGGAAGCCGUUUCCAUAAAGUCACUUCCCAGUCCUCAUCCUGAGCCCAGAGUACAUCCAGUUUGUCCUUUUCAGUCUCUGCCUUGGGUUAGAGCCUGGAUAACUCUCACGCUGUCAGUGGAGCUGCAGAACUAGUGACAGUGACCAGCUCCCCAGGCCAAGAAGCACUGUUAUGGGUCUGGGUGUGGACCCAGGAUACUGUAGAGUGAGUUUGUAAAAAAGGAUUUGAGGACUUAAGAAAAUUUCCCUUUGUUUAUUUAACACUUAGCUCACUAGGAAUUAAAUGAAAUGAUCUCAUCCCCUUGGUCUUUUAGUUGGGCAGUUUUUAUUUAUCUAUUUAUUUUAACUUUUCUCUAUUUCAUGUGCAUCAGUUUUUUGUUGGCAUGCGUGUGUGUACACCACAUUUAAAGUCCUGAGAGCUUAUUGAUAACUCGGAUCUGGAGUUGGAUAGAGAUGGUUAUGAGCUGCCGUGUUGGUACUUGGGUUAAACAGGGAGCCGUCCUGCCAACCCCCAGAUAGCCUUUCUUCAGUGAGGUGUGUGAUGGUUCCAGUCAGCCUGUUCUGUCUGAUGUGAGCUAGGAGACCUUUGACUAAGUCUGCUGUCCUCCAUCUGCAGCUCAGGUGCUUGGAUGAGCAUGGGACAAGAUUCACGUCUGGGUGAGACUGAGCUUUCUGAACCUGAGGACUUAGACUGAAAGCUGUAGCUUGUGGACCUCAGUGGAGAUCAGCAUCUCAGGCUCCAGGGGGAGCCAUCCCUUCAUCCAGAGCUGCUGCUGGCAGAUCGAGAGCCGGAGCCUGCUAACCAGUAGACGAGGGAGAAGCUCACUGCCCUGCGUGCAGCACAGCAGGGCAGGGGGGCAGGAGGUUGUGGCUCUUUGGAGUUACGCAUGGCUGGCUCUGAUUCUGUAAAAAAAAAAAAAGGAAACGGCUUCUACACGGAGAUGACCGCAUCUAAGUCCCGGGGAGUCUCAGGAAAGGGAAUGUUUUAGACUAGGGAGUCUCCUGUCUUCCUGGGGCCUGUGGAUUUUCCUAAGCUAAACCUGUCCCAGAGCAGAUUUGGCUGUGUGUGCACAGAGGUGUGUGAAGCUGCUCUCCUUGAACCUUCAGGCUGACUUUCUGGUCCGGCAGCACAUUCUACAAGGGCAGUCACACGUCCCUUGACUUGGACAGCAGCUGCCCAUCUUUUUGUCAGAGGAGCAUCUGGGUUCCGUACGAUUGCUGCUUCAUAGAGACCGAUAUAUUGCCGUUGUCUUCCUGGAGGAACAGCCAGGCUUUUGGUAAACUCUGUGGAAACCUGAAAGCAGCUAUGAGCACAUCAGACAUUUCCAGUGUGGUGUUUGGUGCUAAUGACAGAACUCUCUUCUGCCGUCUGAAGCCCGGAGUGCUUCAGAUUUGAUUUAGGUUCCUUUCUGAGCUUAGUCUCUCCCCUUCUAGACUUUUAUAAUGUUGGGCUGCAUCAUAUGUGGUCUCCUUCUGAAACAGCCUGGCCUGGUUUUGAUUUUUAAGCUAGAGGUCCAGCAAAACAAAGGUAGCUUUUCUCUGGGUAUUUCUAUUAUGUGGUCAUCACUCCAGGACUUAUUGUAGAGCUACACCUUCACGCAUGCUGGUACACACAUACACACACAUACACAGACACACACAUACACACACACACACAUACACACACACACACACACACACACACACACACACACACACACACACACACACACACCAGGUUCACAUCCUCUGAGAUAAAAGAGGUUCACACUCAAGGUGAGUCAUCCCUCAAUUUGUUCUCUUUAAAGCAGAGUAAACUCAGGAGCUGUUCUUGCUGAGAGCCCUGCAGUACUCCACAGCACAGUGUUGAUGCUCCCACAUCAACAAAGUUAGAGCUACACUUUUGUCUUGUCUGUCGUCACUGCGAUGGACUCCCACCUGCCUGGAGUAAAUCCUGCCCUUUCUCAUCUGAUUUGCUUUGAGACCACACAGCAGCACCGGCCUUUUCUAAGGAACUGAGAGGAUCCCUGAGCCCAGGCAGGGGGCUGCCUGAACUGACCUGCUAGUCCCCUUUUUUGAGUGAAGCCCACAUCCUUGUGUUUGGGGUCCUGGAAUUCCCAAUUCUAUUCUUUUCCUGUUGAUGACAUAAGAGCUGUUGUAGCCUUGGGUAUCAUCUUUCUUGUGGGAACUCUGUUGUUAAGCUAAGGGGAAGCCCCUAAAUCAUCAACGAAACCCCUGGGGAAUUAAAUAUAUCUGUAGCAACUA
rnacentral:sRNA from 1 species